rnacentral:rRNA from 1 species
GACGAACGCUGGCGGCGUGCUUAACACAUGCAAGUCGAACGGAAAGGCCUCUUUCGGGGGGUACUCGAGUGGCGAACGGGUGAGUAACACGUGAGUAGCCUGCCCUUGACUUUGGGAUAACUUCAGUAAACUGGGGCUAAUACCGGAUAGGAGCUCCUGCUGCAUGGUGGGGGUUGGAAAGUUUCGGCGGUUGGGGAUGGACUCGCGGCUUAUCAGCUUGUUGGUGGGGUAGUGGCUUACCAAGGCUUUGACGGGUAGCCGGCCCGAGAGGGUGACCGGCCACAUUGGGACUGAGAGACGGCCCCGACACCUACGGGAGGCAGCAGUGGGGAAUAUUGCACAAGGGGUGGAAGCCUGAUGCAGCAACGCCGUGUGCGGGAAGACGGCCUUCGGGUUGAAAAACGCUUUCGCUCAUGACGAAGCUUUGUGUGACGGUAGUGGGUAAAGAAGCACCGGCUAACUACGUG